rnacentral:rRNA from 1 species
CAAUAGCGUAUACUAAUGUUGUUGCAGUUAAAAAGCUCGUAGUUGAACUUCUGGUAGGAGUGUCCCGGCCUUUUUGUUUUUACAAACUGUAUGCUGUGUGACAUCUCUGGCCAUCCUUCUUCUUUGUUUAAAGAAGAUCUUUCACUGUAAAAAAAUUAGGGUGUUCAAAGCAAAAGUUUCUUUGGAAUAUAUUAGUAUGGGAUGAUAAGAUAGGCUCUAGAUGCUAUUUUGUUGGUUUGCACAUUUAGAGAAUGAUUAACAGGGACAGUUGGGGGUAUUCGUAUUUACAUGUCAGAGGUGAAAUUCUUGGAUUUUGGAAAGACGAACUACUGCGAAAGCAUUUACCAAGGAUGUUUUCAUUAA